GUCGAGCGAAUGGAUUAAGAGCUUGCUCUUAUGAAGUUAGCGGCGGACGGGUGAGUAACACGUGGGUAACCUGCCCAUAAGACUGGGAUAACUCCGGGAAACCGGGGCUAAUACCGGAUAACAUUUUGAACCGCAUGGUUCGAAAUUGAAAGGCGGCUUCGGCUGUCACUUAUGGAUGGACCCGCGUCGCAUUAGCUAGUUGGUGAGGUAACGGCUCACCAAGGCAACGAUGCGUAGCCGACCUGAGAGGGUGAUCGGCCACACUGGGACUGAGACACGGCCCAGACUCCUACGGGAGGCAGCAGUAGGGAAUCUUCCGCAAUGGACGAAAGUCUGACGGAGCAACGCCGCGUGAGUGAUGAAGGCUUUCGGGUCGUAAAACUCUGUUGUUAGGGAAGAACAAGUGCUACUUGAAUAANCUGGCACCUUGACGGUACCUNUGNNNAANGCCNCGGCUAACUACNUGCCAACAUCCGCGGUUNUACGAAGGUGGCAAGAGUUAUCCGGAACUA
rnacentral:rRNA from 1 species